AUGGAGACGCGCGCGGAGGAGGUGAACCCCAACUCCCCCCCUGCCACGGAGCAGCCGGGCCUGUGCCUGAGGCCCCAGGUGACGGCCAGCCCCGGAGAGAGAGGGGACAGAGGGAGCUGGGAUGGGGCUGGAGGCAGCGGCCUGGGGGCCAGGGCUGGGCUGGUGUCUCCUUCCCCCACAGCCGGGGCACAGAGCCAGGGCCCUGCCCCACACAGCCCCUGCUGCCCCCCCAGCCCCUAUUCCCCCCCCAGCCCCUGCCCUGGGUGGCUGGAAGCCCUCUGGGAGCAGUGUGAGAGGGCAGUAGGGGGGACAGAGCUGCCAGGGCCACAGACUGUGGGGUGGGACUUGGCCAGGGAGGAGAGAGAGUGGGAACCCUACCUGGGCCAGGGCCUGCCCCAGUGGGAAAAGGAGAAUGUCCAAGAGCUGGAGCAGUGGGAAUAUGAAAGAUUUCAGCAGCCUUCCCAAUGGGGAAAUGAGAGAUACCAGGAGCCUUCCCAGUGGGGAGAUGUGAGAGUGCAAGAACUCUUCCCUUGGGAAUAUGAGAGAUACCAGGAGCAUUCCCAGUGGGGAGAUGUGAGAGUGCAAGAACUGCUCCCCUGGGAAUAUGAGAGAUACCAGGAGCAUUCCCAGUGGGUAGUUGUGAGAGUGCAAGAACUCUUCCCUUGGGAAUGUGAGGGACACGAGGAGCCUACUCAAUGGGGAAAUGAGACUGUCCAAAAGCUCUAUGAAUGGGAAUAUGAGAGACAGCAGGAGCCUUCCCAGUGGAGAAAUGUGGUAGUCCACGAACUGUUCCCUUGGGAGUAUGAGGGACACAUGAUGCCUUCCCAAUGGGGAAAUGAAAGUGCCCAAAAGCUUUACCAGUGGGAAUAUGAGAGACACCAUGAGCUUCCCCAAUGGGAAGGCCCAAUUGGCCAAGAGCUGUAUGAAAGGGAAGUCAGACAAGACCCAGAGCUGUCCCAAAGGCGACCCCAGAGAGACAUAGAGGAGUUGGAGGAGGGUGUGGAAGAGAUCACCAUCCACACCAUAUGGGUCAACCCCAAGUACCCACAGCUCCUGCAGGACCCCGAUGCUGUUCCCCAGGACUCGGCCAAGGCAGCAGCUUCUCCUGCCUUGGCUGAGCAGGUGAAGGCAGCAGGAGCACAGAGCCAGGGCCCUGCCCCACACAGCCCCUGCUGCCCCCCCAGCCCCUGCCCUGGGUGGCUGGAAGCCCUCUGGGAGCAGUGUGAGGGGGCAGUAGGGGGGACAGAUCUGCCAGGGCCACAGACUGUGGAGUGGGACUUGGCCAGAGAGGAGAGAGAAUGGGAACCGUACUUGGGCCAGCAACUAACCCAGUGGGGAAAGAAGAGUGACCAAGGGCUGUCCCAAUGGGAAGAUGAGAAAUACCGAGAUAUCUCUCGACUGGAAUUUGAGAGAGACCAAGAGCUGUUCCAUGGGGAAGACGUGACAUACCAGGAGCCUUCCCAAAAUCAAGAUAUGAAUGUCCCAGAGCUCUACAAACAGGAUGACAAAAUAGACCAAGAGCUGUCAGAAGGUGAGAUAGACCCAGAGUUGUACCACUGGGAAUCUGACAGACACCAAGAGCUAUUCAAUUUUCUGGACAUGGGAAUCCAAGAGGUGUCCCAAGAGGAAAACAACAGUGACAAGUUUCCCCAGUGGGAACACUCCAUUGACCAAGAGCUGUCUGAAGGAGAAAUGAGACAAUAUCCAAAGGUGUCCCAAGAGAAAGGCGAUAGUGACAAAAAGGAGUCACAGACAGACAGUGAAUGCAUCACCAUCCACACCAUCUGGGUCAACCCCAAGUACCCUCAGCUCCUGCAGGACCCCGACGCUGUUCCACAGAGCCAGGGCCCUGCCCCACACAGCCCCUGCUGCCCCCCGGAGCCCUCAGCUCCCCAGCCAGGAGCCCAGGCCCUCAGGGAGCCGCCGGCUCCCCCCAAGAAACGCCCGUCCCGCUUCAGGCGGGCGCUGCGGGCGCUGCGGGCGCUGUUCCGCUGCCCCUGCCUGAGGCCACAGACGGACAAUCAGUGCCCGCUGCCCGCGCCAGGCCGGGCCCCGCAGGUGGCGGCUGGCCCGGAGCCUGCCCCUGUCACACGGGCUGCCUUUGAUGGCCAGGUGUCAGGGACAUCAGGUCCUUGGCAGGAGAAGGGCCUGGCUGAGGCUUAG
ensembl:lncRNA